AAGUCCUUGAUAGUGGCAGUAAUUUCUGCA
rnacentral:piRNA from 1 species